rnacentral:rRNA from 1 species
GCAAGUCGAACGGUAACAGGAAGUGCUUGCACUUCGCUGACGAGUGGCGGACGGGUGAGUAAUGCUUGGGAACUUGCCUUUGCGAGGGGGAUAACAGUUGGAAACGACUGCUAAUACCGCAUAAUGUCUACGGACCAAACGGGGCUUCGGCUCCGGCGCAAAGAGAGGCCCAAGUGAGAUUAGCUAGUUGGUAAGGUAAAGGCUUACCAAGGCAACGAUCUCUAGCUGUUCUGAGAGGAAGAUCAGCCACACUGGAACUGAGACACGGUCCAGACUCCUACGGGAGGCAGCAGUGGGGAAUAUUGCACAAUGGGGGAAACCCUGAUGCAGCCAUGCCGCGUGUGUGAAGAAGGCCUUCGGGUUGUAAAGCACUUUCAGUUGUGAGGAAAAGUUAGUAGUUAAUACCUGCUAGCCGUGACGUUAACAACAGAAGAAGCACCGGCUAACUCCGUGCCAGCAGCCGCGGUAAUACGGAGGGUGCGAGCGUUAAUCGGAAUUACUGGGCGUAAAGCGCACGCAGGCGGUUUGUUAAGCUAGAUGUGAAAGCCCCGGGCUCAACCUGGGAUGGUCAUUUAGAACUGGCAGACUAGAGUCUUGGAGAGGGGAGUGGAAUUCCAGGUGUAGCGGUGAAAUGCGUAGAUAUCUGGAGGAACAUCAGUGGCGAAGGCGACUCCCUGGCCAAAGACUGACGCUCAUGUGCGAAAGUGUGGGUAGCGAACAGGAUUAGAUACCCUGGUAGUCCACACCGUAAACGCUGUCUACUAGCUGUUUGUGACUUUAAGCCGUGAGUAGCGAAGCUAACGCGCUAAGUAGACCGCCUGGGGAGUACGGCCGCAAGGUUAAAACUCAAAUGAAUUGACGGGGGCCCGCACAAGCGGUGGAGCAUGUGGUUUAAUUCGAUGCAACGCGAAGAACCUUACCUACACUUGACAUGCAGAGAACUUUCCUAGAGAUGGAUUGGUGCCCUUCGGGGAACUCUGACACAGUGCUGCAUGGCUGUCGUCAGCUCGUGUCGUG